UUUAUGCUGCAAGUUAUAAAUGCAGAUGUACAAAUGAGAAUGACGUAGUGGGGUUGAUGUCCCAUAACGCUACCUUAGGCUGCAAGAUGCAAAAAUUGCUUGGGAAAGAGGAAACAGAACUAAAUUAAAUAUCCAAAGCGCUGACAUUUAUUUCACUGGCACUUAAUUUGGACCGAGGCUUGGGUUUUAACACACUGAAUCCUGAAUCUGAGGUGGUUUGGCCCUGGAAGAAGGCAUGGUUUUUCAACAACUACAGAGUUCAUUAGACCCUUCGCUUAAGCAACCACAGCCAACUUCUAUGGAGCUUAUCUGAGGAUGUCAGGUUUUCUUCUCUUGCAUCCCUGAGAAACUCCAUCCAAUCCUCAUUACUUGGGGUUUAAUUCAAAAGUAGGUCGUUGCCGUAGAGAUGGGUUUUAAUGUCUUGAUUUUGUUUCUCUGAAUUAGAGAGAAAAGCAGGCGGUGCCAACCUUGGGAAGCAGUUUUGCAGCCAGAAAUAUCAACGCAAAAGUACACAGCAGACGACUGGGGAAGCACUGAGGUGGCCUUUAUAAUGAUGGACCCUUGGCAUCGAUGGUGGAUGGUCCAGGCCUCUGAAUCCUAGAAAUGCGACACGGUGGCUAAGUUCACAUAUCAUGCUCACCUUGAAACAAGAAGGGCUGGCCGAAGGAAUACCCAAGAGGCAGACCGGAGAAGGGGAGAUCAAACUGUGGCUUGUUUGACCACCUGUGAAACAAGCCAUGGCCAACACGAAACAUGGUUUUUCUUCUUAAGAACUACUUCUUCAGAAUUAGAACUCAUAAUUCUGUAACUCAUGUAAUGAGUUAUUUAUAAGAUUACUUGAAACAGCAAUAUUCCAGGUUCUGGCAAACAUUUCCCAAGAAAUAAAUAGUUGGACAACACAGCUGUUCCUGUUGCUGCAUAUAUGUAAAAUAUUAAUUUGUACACUAGUAGAAUUUUUUUAAAAAGGAUCCAGUGGAUUAUACCUCUUUAAA